ACAAUGUUUUGUGUCAACGUAUAUACAAAGUGAAUGCUAAUCCUUUUCCGCAAUACUGAUAUUUUAAAUGUAUUAUGCUCUAGCCAGUAAUUGAGUUAAAAAAUUAACACUAUAAUGAUAUAAAAGCUAAUCUUAUUAUGACUAGCUUUCCCGUCAUACAAAGUUUUUUUUUAAUAUAAUAGAUAUGCAGUAUUACAUUAGUUUUAGGGAUACAACAUAGUGAUUCCACAACUCUAUACCUUAUGCCAUGCCCACCAAAGCUAUAGCCACCAUCUGUCACCACACAAUACCAUUACAAUUCCACUGACUAUAGUCUAUGAAGGAGGCAAGAACAUAUAUAGUUUUUUAAAAAAAUCUUCGAAGAAGCAAAAUUUCAUAAUUAUUAAAUGCAGUCCUACCAGAAAUCCUAAACUUGGGCUUCUUUAUCUUAGCCAUCAUUAUUAUUUUCAACAGCUUUCCUUCUCAAUUACAUCAUCAUGGAGCUAUUCUCAUUGGAAAAGUACCCCAAUUCAUAAUCUGCAGAAGGAAAACACUGACAGCAGCUGACAGGUCUCCACUCUCAAGAGCUGCAGAAGGACAAAAUUACUUGAAACAUGCCAUCAGCACCUCUCUGCAGCAGCGGAGGUCAGGAUUUCUGGAGUCAGGGCAGCCUGGCAGUACAGACACUGAGCAGACCCAGAAUGGCAACAGAAUUCAUGCACCUGUGCAUGAACAACGGCCUUUGUCUGUGGCUAGAAGUCCUGUGGCAUCACCACAAGGUGGGUAGACUUUGAAGUUACUACAGAUGGGGCAGGGGUUCAGAGGCAGGAAAGGUGAUCUACCUUUGCAUUUUUAACAUAUACUUUAAUUCUAAAUUUUUCUAAUGAAUUCUACAAUUAUUCAAGAUUUUCAUCUUCUCACUAGCCAUGACAAGGGACUUAUUUUGAUUUAAUGACUCAUUGGUAUUACUUAAUCAGCAUUUCAUGGCUGACAAGCAUUUCCUUUUUCCCUUUUUUCAUAUAAAAAGCUGUUUUGUUUAUGUUAACAGUUACAUUUACUAACAUAUCAUAGCAACUUGUAUGCUCAGCAUGUUUUCUUACAUCAUAUACUUCCACUUCAAAAAAGAUGCAAGUACAUCCAUUUAUAGUUCUCCCACUGAAGGCCUAUGGGAGAUACAUUUUGUUAGACUUUAUCUCAUAAGAUUUUCUCUCAUUUGAUUCUCUUAUUCCUAAAUGAAUUUUGGCUAAAUGUGAAAUCAUAGAGUGAUGCUUCCUGCCAUCAUUUUGAAUGUUCUCUUCUGGCAUCUGUUUUGCUGAGAAGUCUGCUAUUACUUCCUUGUGUCUAUACUCAGUGUUCCUGCGUAAAGAUAGGAUAACAUUUGGGAAGCACCCAGCAGAUUCCCCCAUAUAAAGCAAAAGCAUCCUUUUUCCUUUUGCCCUCAGCCCUUUGGAAAUUGUGACUAUCGUUAAAAGAAUAUACAUAAAAAGAAGUUACAACAAAAUAUAAUCUGUCUAUUAAAGUCCUAUAGCUCAAAUAUUGAAACAAUUAUUAGUAAUCUCUAAUAUACUCAGGCAUUUUCUGUAAUUUAUUAACAAAAUAUAGUUUUUGGUUCUGUUUUUUCUUUUUGAGUCAGAGCCACUCCUGAGACCUUCUAGAGGACAUUGCUUUAUAAUUCAUCUAUCCCAGCUACCUUGGCAGAAGCUUGGUCUUUUUGGUCUACAUUUUCUCAAGUAUUUUUGAACUGACAUAAAAGUGAAUGCAAUCCCCUGAUUUUUCUAAUGGGUCCUUAUAGAAACAUUCUGAACCCAAACCUUUGGCUUAUAUUUUGUGUGAGAUACAUUAUCCUAUAUUUUCCUCUUCUUCCCUCUUUGGUUUUUAACCUUAAUUUAAGAUAUACAUAUUUUAGUGAUUAUAAUUAUUUCCUGGGUGUAGUUGAAAUAUCAUUUUUAUAAAAAUAUUGUUUUUUUUCUUUUCUACCUUUAAAAUAAGUCACACAGUAACUCCAUCCAUAGUGCUUAUUGUCACAUUUAGAGUUAAUAUUUCCUUAAUUCAAAUUAUUCUUUUUGUGGGGGAAGAGGGGGGGAAGGUGAGGGCAUACACAGAGAAGGGAGCAGAGCAAGUGGGGCAGAACAGAGCAAGCAA
rnacentral:lncRNA from 1 species